AGCGGCGGACGGGUGAGUAACGCGUGGGUAACCUGCCUCAUACAGGGGGAUAACAGUUGGAAACGGCUGCUAAUACCGCAUAAGCGCACAGUACCGCAUGGUACCGUGUGAAAAACUCCGGUGGUAUGGGAUGGACCCGCGUCUGAUUAGCUAGUUGGUGGGGUAACGGCCUACCAAGGCGACGAUCAGUAGCCGACCUGAGAGGGUGACCGGCCACAUUGGGACUGAGACACGGCCCAA
rnacentral:rRNA from 1 species